GACGAACGCUGGCGGCGUGCUUAACACAUGCAAGUCGAACGGAAAGGCCCUGCUUUUGUGGGGUGCUCGAGUGGCGAACGGGUGAGUAACACGUGAGUAACCUGCCCUUGACUUUGGGAUAACUUCAGGAAACUGGGGCUAAUACCGGAUAGGAGCUCCUGCUGCAUGGUGGGGGUUGGAAAGUUUCGGCGGUUGGGGAUGGACUCGCGGCUUAUCAGCUUGUUGGUGGGGUAGUGGCUUACCAAGGCUUUGACGGGUAGCCGGCCUGGGAGGGUGACCGGCCACAUUGGGACUGAGAUACGGCCCAGACUCCUACGGGAGGCAGCAGUGGGGAAUAUUGCACAAUGGGCGGAAGCCUGAUGCAGCAACGCCGCGUUCGGGAUGACGGCCUUCGGGUUGUAAACCGCAUUCGCCUGUGACGAAGCGUGAGUGACGGUAAUGGGUAAAGAAGCACCGGCUAACUACGUG
rnacentral:rRNA from 1 species